AUCCUACGGGAGGCAGCAGUGGGGAAUAUUGCACAAUGGGCGCAAGCCUGAUGCAGCCAUGCCGCGUGUAUGAAGAAGGCCUUCGGGUUGUAAAGUACUUUCAGCAGUGAGGAAGGUGGGUAUGUUAAUAGCAUACUCAUUUGACGUUAGCUGCAGAAGAAGCACCGGCUAACUCCGUGCCAGCAGCCGCGGUAAUACGGAGGGUGCGAGCGUUAAUCGGAAUUACUGGGCGUAAAGCGCAUGCAGGUGGUUUGUUAAGUCAGAUGUGAAAGCCCGGGGCUCAACCUCGGAAUUGCAUUUGAAACUGGACAAACUAGAGUACUGUAGAGGGGGUAGAAUUUCAGGUGUAGCGGUGAAAUGCGUAGAGAUCUGAAGGAAUACCGGUGGCGAAGGCGGCCCCCUGGACAGAUACUGACACUCAGAUGCGAAAGCGUGGGGAGCAAACAGGAUUAGAUACCCUGGUAG
rnacentral:rRNA from 1 species